rnacentral:lncRNA from 1 species
UCUCGUGGACCCACUGGCCCUGCAGAAGUGGCCCACUUCCCCUGGUCAGAAGGUGACUGUCCCAGUAGUUUGAUGAUCAUGCAGAGGCCUCAGUUGAGGCAGAUUCUUUAUGAGACAUUCUUGCAUCCUCUCAGGAUAAGCCCCUACCUUCUCUCUUGACAACCAGACCAUUAACCAGGAUCAAAUUCCAGAAGACCAACUGGGCAUGUGAAGGCCUGUGAAGGAAAGAAAGGGAUAAAAUGCCAAAGAGGCCACAUAAUCCAACUAACACGAACCUUCAGGAUUUGGGAGAGCAUCAAUAGGACUUGCUGGUGAGAGUGUUUCCUCAAGGGGAGUGGAUCUUACAGAUCACCAUUGACCACGAAUAACUGAAAUCACGGAAAGUGAAACCACAGAUAAGAGAGGACUACUGUUUCUGAAAUGUUGAAAGAAAAAUACCACAAACCUUGAAUUCUGUAUCCAGCAAAGUUAUCCUCCUAUACUGAAGUACAAAGACUAUCAGAUGACAACAACAACAACAACAGAAAUCUAGAGGGAAUUUGUUGCCAGUAGAUCUUCUGUGAUUAAAAUGUUAAAGAAGUUUCUUAGAAAGAAAUAAAAUAAUAUAGGGCAGAAACUCAAAUCUAUAUAAAAAUGAAAGAGCAUCAGAGAAUCA